rnacentral:tRNA from 1 species
GGGCCUGUAGCUCAGGUGGUUAGAGCGCACGCCUGAUAAGCGUGAGGUCGGAGGUUCGAGUCCUCCCAGGCCCA